rnacentral:ncRNA from 1 species
GGGAGCUGUAUGAGCGGUAACGUCCACGUACGGUUCCGUGAGAAGGCGGUGGACAGAAAUGGCCUUGUUGUACCUCACUCUCGU